rnacentral:pre_miRNA from 1 species
AAGACACCCUUAUGGGGCAGGACUUGCUUCAGUGGGGCUUUGGUGCUCACUGAGUCUGCCCUCUGAGUGUGUCUGU